CCCAUCCAGAUCAACUCGGCUCUAUAAAGGUGCUGCUUUCAUUUUGAAAGUGGAGUCUGUGAAGAACUGCUCCCCUGAAGAGACUCUGAACUUCUGUACUCUACGGCCUUGAGUAGCUUCACCCUCCUGGAAUCGUGGUUUCUCUGAACAGGAAACCCUGUUCAGUGUGUGCAAGCCUAACACAAAAAAAAUUGUGUAAAGAAUAUCUGCCGAAACUGGAAAUCCCGUGGACAGAGCAGCCUGGAGGGCUACAGUUGAUGGAGUCACAAAAAGUUGGACAUGACUGAGCAACUGAGCACGCACGACUGAGCGCGGUCCACGUCCUACCCAAUGAACACGUCACCCAAGCCCACAGUCAGGCCAGUU